CAAAAACAUAGCCUUUAGCUUUACAAGUAUUAAAGGUCCCGCCUGCCCAGUGAUAUUUUAAACGGCCGCGGUAUCCUAACCGUGCAAAGGUAGCAUAAUCACUUGUCCCCUAAAUAGGGACUGGAAUGAACGGCUACAUGAAGACUUUACUGUCUCUUGCUGCUAGUCAAUGAAACUGAUCUCCCAGUACAAAAGCUGGAAUAAUCUCAUAAGACAAAAAGACCCUGUGGAGCUUUUAAACCAAGUACACCAAAAUGUUCUAUCACGGUUUUUAGUUGGGGCGACUUCGGAACAAAAUAAAACUUCCGAAACCAUGGAAUCAUACCCAUAUCUAAGGCCAACACGCCAAGAUGAGUCAUCUACUUGACCCAGUUUACCACAUACUGAUCAAUGAACCAAGUUACCCCAGGGAUAACAGCGCCAUCUUCUUUUAGAGUCCAUAUCGACAAGAAGGUUUACGACCUCGAUGUUGGAUCAGGACACCCAAAUAGUGCAGCCGCUAUUAAAGGUUCGUUUGUUCAACGAUUAACAGUCCUACGUGAUCUGA
rnacentral:rRNA from 1 species